rnacentral:rRNA from 1 species
GGGACUGAGACACGGCCCGGACUCCUACGGGAGGCAGCAGUGGGGAAUAUUGGACAAUGGGGGCAACCCUGAUCCAGCCAUGCCGCGUGUGUGAAGAAGGCCUUUUUGGUUGUAAAGCACUUUAAGCAGUGAAGAAGACUCCGUGGUUAGUACCCACGGACGAUGACAUUAGCUGCAGAAUAAGCACCGGCUAACUCUGUGCCAGCAGCCGCGGUAAUACAGAGGGUGCAAGCGUUAAUCGGAAUUACUGGGCGUAAAGCGAGCGUAGGUGGCUUGAUAAGUCAGAUGUGAAAUCCCCGGGCUUAACCUGGGAACUGCAUCUGAUACUGUUAAGCUAGAGUAGGUGAGAGGGAAGUAGAAUNUCAGGUGUAGCGGUGAAAUGCGUAGAGAUCUGAAGGAAUACCGAUGGCGAAGGCAGCUUCCUGGCAUCAUACUGACACUGAGGCUCGAAAGCGUGGGUAGCAAACAGGAUUAGAUACCCUGGUAGUCCACGCCGUAAACGAUGUCUACUAGUCGUUGGGUCCCUUGAGGACUUAGUGACGCAGCUAACGCAAUAAGUAGACCGCCUGGGGAGUACGGCCGCAAGGUUAAAACUCAAAUGAAUUGACGGGGGCCCGCACAAGCGGUGGAGCAUGUGGUUUAAUUCGAUGCAACGCGAAGAACCUUACCUGGUCUUGACAUAUCUAGAAUCCUGCAGAGAUGCGGGAGUGCCUUCGGGAAUUAGAAUACAGGUGCUGCAUGGCUGUCGUCAGCUCGUGUCGUGAGAUGUUGGGUUAAGUCCCGCAACGAGCGCAACCCUUGUCCUUAGUUACCAGCGGGUUAAGCCGGGAACUCUAAGGAUACUGCCAGUGACAAACUGGAGGGAGGCGGGGACGACGUCAAGUCAUCAUGGCCCUUACGACCAGGGUUACACACGUGCUACAAUGGUAGGUACAGAGGGCAGCUACACAGCGAUGUGAUGCGAAUCUCAAAAAGCCUAUCGUAGUCCAGAUUGGAGUCUGCAACUCGACUCCAUGAAGUAGGAAUCGCUAGUAAUCGCG